rnacentral:rRNA from 1 species
UACGGGGGGGGCAAGCGUUGUUCGGAAUUACUGGGCGUAAAGGGUUCGUAGGUGGCCUGCUAAGUCGGACGUGAAAUCCCUCGGCUCAACCGGGGAACUGCGUCCGAUACUGGUGGGCUCGAGUGCAGGAGAGGAACGCGGAAUUCCAGGUGUAGCAGUGAAAUGCGUAGAGAUCGGGAGGAACACCAGUGGCGAAGGCGGCUACCUGGACCAGCAUUGACACUCAAGCACGAAAGCGUGGGGAGCAAACAGG